UACGUAGGGGGCGAGCGUUGUCCGGAAUUACUGGGCGUAAAGGGAGCGUAGGCGGUUUAAUAAGUCAGAAGUGAAAUACCCGAGCUUAACUUGGGGGGUGCUUCUGAAACUAUCAAACUUGAGUGCAGGAGAGGCAAGUGGAAUUCCUAGUGUAGCGGUGGAAUGCGUAGAUAUUAGGAGGAACACCAGUGGCGAAGGCGACUUGCUGGACUGUAACUGACGCUGAGGCUCGAAAGCGUGGGGAGCAAACAGG
rnacentral:rRNA from 1 species